GGACGUGAGCUCUGUGCUUCAUGAGCUUCACGUCUUUCGCGGUAGAGUUGUCAAACUGACCAUUGACUAUUGGAUUACCGAACCUAUUUAGAAAUUCGAUUUUGUUACCAAGAAGAUUUGGCUUUACAAACUGUACCAUGCAGUGAUCUGCAAAGAAAAUAUUAUAUUUGUCACAACUAUUCAAAUAGAUUUAAGUAAUGGUUGCAACUUUACAUACAUUCACUCAAGUUAUUCUGAAGUGGCGUGCCCCAAAUGUCCUUCGUCGCAGACUACGAAAUCAGCACCAGGAUUUAGUAAAUAUGACCUCAUUUUUUGGCUACGCUGGAGACUCUGUUUUUUAUCGUCGGAUGUGAACAAUCGAAACAUUUCGUAGCUAAGGACCAAGACUCCACCAAGGUCGUGCCAAAACUUCAGUUGGGAGAUUCUACUCGAUGUCUUUUUGAUUCUAAAUGAGUAAUAUUUUAUUUUUCGAAAAUAUUUUGAAUUUAGUAUGUAGAUUUUAAUAAAAAUUCAAACAUACUGCGUCAAGUCGUAAA